UCCGUUAUGGUGUAGUGGCUAACAUUAUCGCCUCUCAUUUGUUUGCUAUUCAUUGAACGCGAUAGCCCAGGGUUCGAUUCCCUGUAACGGAC